CACGCGGCUGCUGAUGUAGACGAAAAGACACCGACUGCAAAUGUCACGUUCAGGUGCUGCUGAUGUCGACGCAGAGACACCGACUACAAACCUCACAAUCAGGUGCUGCUGAUGUCGACGCAGAGACACCGACUACAAACCUCACAAUCAGGUUCCUCUGUCCGUCUGUGUACAUGCAACUUGCGAAGGAUUUUUCUCGCGGACCGUGGGGUUUAUGUAAAAAAACAAUUAGCCUGGUAACACGCCGUAAGCCCCGUGCUUGGCAUAGGAUAU